rnacentral:lncRNA from 1 species
CUUAGGAUGACAGGAUUUCAAAUGAGAAGGGGACUUUUAGAUAUCACAUGUUACCUGUGGAGAAACUGAGGCUCAGAGAACCUACAUGGCAUGUCCAACACCAUAUAAGUAUGAAGGAGCAGAUUGAGAGACACUUACAUCCUAGAGCAUGGGAGUCGAGUUUUCAGUCAUAUUUGAAUGCCCAAAGUCACUGUCAUCAUCCUUGGAUUAAGGGAAGACCUCCAAAAGAGGAGUGAGAGUAUUCCAGACCAACAUUUACCUCCUCCCCGACUCUGCCUGGUCCAACAUCUCCAAGUCUUUCCCCCUCACCCACUCCAUGAGCUACAAGGUGAGAGGAACCAUUCCCUUGGUAACAUUCUGUUCUCCUGGGCAACAGCAUGUCUAAUCCUAGGCUCUCUGCACCCAGCCUCAUAUCCCCAGAAGAAGUUGGAGGAAGAGGGUCCCCAGUCCAAAAGCGCAGGAGAAGGAAUGAACUUACAGGAGAAUGUCACCGUGGCCAUGGCAGUGGUCACCAUCUUAGCCUCCAUUUACUUCUUCCAUAAGGUGAGAGGAGUCUGGGGAGCCAAGGACCCUGUUCUAAGAUAAUACUGAAUUUUGUAAUUAAGUAUCUUGGGAAUGCAUUGAUAACCCAGUGGUUCUCUUAUUCUCUUCAUUUCUUCCUCUAUGUCUGAGUCUCUGUAUUUCCCUCUGACUCUGGGCCUCUGGCCUCUCUCAGACUGGAGCACUCAAUGACAUUGGAUUAUGUCCCUUCAUCCUCCAGCCUCCAGCUGUAAAAUGAGGAAUUUGGAGUUGAUGACCUCUAAGGUCCUCUCCAUCUGGAAUUCCAUGAUUCUGUGACCCAACAAAUGGGAGGGAGACUCUUUAAAUCCAAGCCCCUUAUUUUACAGAUGAGAAAACUGAGACUCACAGAGAAGGACCUUACCCAACCCAUCACUAAGAUCAUGUUACUCCUCUAUUCAAAAUCCUCUUAAUGGCUUUCUGUUAACAAAUGAAUAAAGUUGAAGAUUUUAAUCCUGGCA